rnacentral:lncRNA from 1 species
CUGUGAAACAAGAAAGUCAUUUUGUCUACGCUUGUGUCUGUGAGAGGAGAAGAGCAAGAUGAGUUUUCCAAGUGAGUGUUAUCAGUUCUUUAGAUGCUGCAAUGAAGAUUAUGUAGGAUCCCUAACUCACCAACUGAAGCAUAUUGAGAACUGAUUAUUACUUCCCGGGUUUGCUGUCCUGCAGGUCCAGACAACUCUUACUGGCAUACUGAGUU